ACAAAAACAUGUCCUGGGGGAUAAAUCCUAGGUCAGACCUGCCCUAUGUUAAUCAAUAAAUGGUCGCAGAUUCUGUGCUAAGGUAGCAUAAUCAAUUGCCCUGUAAUUCAGGGAUGGAAUGAAGGGUUCGACGAAGGUCAAGCUGUCUCUUUGGUGGGUACCUGAAAUUUAGCUCUGGGUAAAAACGCCUAGGUACAAAGGGGGGACGAUAAGACCCUAAGAUCUUGGUCUCAAGCACUUUUUAAGGGUAGUGUUGGGAUUUACUUGGGAUGAGGAGUGUACAAAAACUACCUUUAAGGUAAAGAAGUAACAGUUCAAACAGUGAAACCUCCAGCGGAGAUAAAGGACAAAGUUACCUUAGGGAUAACAGGGAUAUUCUGUCUAGGGAGACCGAAUUUCUAGAAAGGGUUUCCACCUCGAUGUUGAAUUAAAGUUGCACUUUGGGGGAGAUCCUAGGGUAGUUGGAUUGUUCAUCCAUUUAAACUUUACGUGAUCUGA
rnacentral:rRNA from 1 species